rnacentral:lncRNA from 1 species
CUCUAACCAGGACCUCACUGAGACAGAUACAGAUGCCCACAUGCAAACUUUGUACUCAAGUCAGGAGCCCCUAUGAUAGAGUUGGGGGAAGGAUUGAAGGAACCAAAAGGGAUGUGAAUACCACAGGAAGAACAAAAGUGUCAAGUCACCUGGACCCUUGAGAACUCUCAGAGGCUGAGCCACCAAUCAAAGAGCAUACAUGGCUUGGUCAAGGCCCCUGACACAUAUGUAGCUGAGCAGUGCUGCAUCUGGGCUCAAUGUGAAAGGAUGCACCUAAUCCUGCAGAGACUUGAUGCACCAGGUUGAGAGAAUGGUGGUGGGGCUGCCUUCACAAAGGCAAAGGGGAGGGAGGGAAGAAAUCUGAGAGGGAGACAGAGGCAACAUUUGGGAUGUAAAUACAUCAUAUACAUACACAUACACAUACACAUACACAUACACAUACACAUACACAUACACAUACACAUACAUCAUACAUCAUACAACAUACAACAUAUACAUAUACAUAUAUACGUACAUGUGUGUGUGUGUGUGUGUGUGUGUGUGUGUGUGUGUAUGUAUACACACGUAAUAAGUUAGAGUGAUUGAACAGACAGCUGAACUGAAAUGACACUGGAAAUACAAUUUUGAUUAAGCCAAAUAGAAUCCUCAGUGGAAAGCCUAACCUACAGAAUGGAUCAUAUUGACAAAAGUGUCAGUGGUGGAGACCAUGGUUGUACACAAUAGACGCCAUGAGACGUUAAGCAACAACAACAAUAACUACAACAACUACAACUACAACAAAACCAUGAACAGAAAAUAGGAAAACUGCCACUCUACCUUGGGUGCAACCUUAGCACACAGCCCCAAGGUGCCCAGAGGAGAAGAGUCUCCACUUCCUGGUGCUCUAACAGUCCCAGGAUCUUAGGAUUCCAGGAUUCCAGGAUCCCAGGCACUUAGUCACAACAGAAUUUCAGGGACUCAGAGGAAGCUUGGCUCCCAGGAACUCUGACAAACCCAGAAUCUCAGAGUUGCAGGAUCCCAGAAUCACAGGAUCACAGAGAAAGCUGGACUCUGAGGAGUUCUGACUCAACCUGGACAGGUUACAAUCAGCUAUAGCAAGGGCAGGGAGCACUUGAGAUAAUCAGAUGGCAAGAGGCAAGCAUAAAAACAGAUGCAACAGAAAGCAAGGUUACUUGGCAUCAUCAGAAUCAAACUCUCCUAUCAUAGCAAGUUCUGGAUACACCACCACACCAGAAAAGCAAGAUAUGAAUCUAAAGACACUUCUCAUGAUAAUGAUGGAGGACUUUAAGAAGCACAUAAGCAACUCUCAUAAAGAAGUACAUAACACAGAUAAACAAGUAGAAACCAGUAAAGAGGAAACACAAAAAUCCCUUAAAGAAUUCCAGGAAAACAACAAAACAGGUGAAGGAAUUGAACAAAACUAUCCAGGAUCUAAAAAUGGAAGUAGAAACAAUAAAGAAAUCACAAAGGGAGACAACUCUGGAGAUAGAAAACAGAGG